rnacentral:lncRNA from 1 species
GACGCCAGGGGGCAGCAGGCGCCCAGCUUCAGCCCUCAGGCUCCAGGCUCCAGUGGGCGGGAGGCUGCUUGGCUUCUGGCUGCCCCUGCGGCUGGGGAAGGGGGCACGGGCAACCUCUUGGUUGAGCAUCUACUCUGAGCAGCCCUCGCCUGUGGGGUGCAGCCACCUGGGAGUGUGUUAACCUGGGAGGCGGCCAGGGCAAGCCUGCCAUCACCUCCUGGCCUCUGCGCUCGGUCUGGCCAACUGCCCUGGCUUCAAAAUUCAGCCAGGAGGAGGUGGAAAAUGGGAGGGAGGAAGGAAGGAAGGAAGGAAAGAAGGAAGGAGUUAAGUGUUGGGGGCUCCCCUCCUUCUCUGACCCUGGAGGUCAGUGGGGCGGGACCCCAGCUCAGGGCAGGAGGUGGCUUCAUUGUCUCUGACUUGCUGGGGGACCCUAAGCCGGUCACUCCCCUGUCAGAGCCUGGAACUCCCAGCCCCCAGCUCCUGGGGUGCCUUCCUCCAGGUGUGUCCCUGGCUUGGGCUGGGGGGACACAGCCCCGCUCCUGGGACGUGCAGGUUUUAAAAGCUAUUGGGUACCAUCUUUGAUCGAAUUCAGAGUGACAGACUUAGAGCAGGUCACCUCUCAGCUUCUAACGAGGCCAAGACGGAGGAAUCCCCACAGCACUGGGUUUGACUCUGUAAUUAAGCUGGUAAAGUGGAAAAAUAAAAGUAGGAAACCUAAGUGGAAACCAAACCAGAAAGCCAGGCAGCCCGGGAGUUCUGAGCCCUAGAGACCUGGCCUCGAAAGCUAUGCAGCAUCAUGUCUGCCUCAUUUGAUUGAUCCAGCAAGCUACUGAGACCAUCCCAGAUUCACGGCAGGGGGAUCCAUUCUGCUUGAGUGGCAAAGGGCUUGCAGCCAUCUUUGCCCCAACACCCUUCCUUACAGAACCCAACCCUGGUGAUUGAUUGAUAGCCAGCAUGGUUUGGGGGGUUUACUUCAGGACCCACAAGCAAUUGUUACCUGAAUUCAAAACAGCCUAUAAUCCCAGCACUUUGGGAGGCCAAGGUGUGAGGAUCACUUGAGCUCAGAAGUUUGAGACCAGCCUAGGCAAUAUAGUGAGACCCUGUCACUACAAAAAAUAUAAAAAUUAUCUGGGCGUGGUGGCGUGUACCUGUGGUCCCAGCUACUUGGGGGCUGAGAUGGGAGGAUUGCUUGAGCCUGGGAAGUCAAGUCUGCAGUGAGUCAUGAUCACACCACUGCAUUCCAGCCUGGGCAGCAGAGCAAGACUCUGUCUCAAUAAAUAAGUAAAUUCAAAACAAAAACAAUUUUUUUCCUCUAGCAUGGAUUUUCAGUAAUUAACAGAAUUAAAAAAAAAAUCAUCAAACACUUCUUGUGUUUGACCUGACCAAGUGCCAGGAGUGGCUUCCUGUCUAGCAAAUUAGAAAGAUGCAGGCCUAGUUGAGAGGCACACUGCUGUGAGUUCGUGUCAGCAAGGACCCCUGAGUAGGGGCUGCAAGGCCACUGUGAUGAUGUCACAAAAACUCUUGAUCAGGGUAUCUGCCCACAGCCUUUCUGCCUUCUUUUAUUGUCUGUGCGUGUACAUAACAUGUACGUGUCUAUAUGUUAUAGAGAUACACACUUACACAUCAUGUGUAUGUAUACACACAACACAUGUAUGUAUGUGUGCAUAUAUUGUCUAUAUGUACAUAAUUUAUCUCUUUUUGUUAACUUUGUAUUUGGUUUUACAUUUUCU